rnacentral:rRNA from 1 species
UACGAAGGGGGCGAGCGUUGUUCGGAAUUACUGGGCGUAAAGGGCGCGCAGGCGGCUCUGAAAGUCAGAUGUGAAAGCCCCGGGCUUAACCUGGGAACUGCAUUUGAUACUCUAGAGCUUGAGUACGGGAGAGGAGAGUGGAAUUCCCAGUGUAGAGGUGAAAUUCGUAGAUAUCGGGAAGAACACCCGUGGCGAAGGCGGCUCUCUGGGACGGUACUGACGCUGAGACGCGAAAGCGUGGGGAGCGAACAGG